GGGGUCAUUGUACAUUGUCUGACUGUGACUAAUCAUAUCACUAUGAGCUUGGAAGACUCAGAUCGGGCACAAAUAGCCCAUAUGAACUUUUGGGAUGGUGAAGGAGAUGUCUCCAAAUCUGCCCAUCUCAUUUCUUUUGAGCUUCUACAGUUCUGCUAUGCCCACACAGCACAAAGCUUCUUUGAUGCAGAAUGCCAUGAUGGACAGAUCUGUUCCAGUGUCUUCCAUGUCCCACAAUCAAUACCAAAGUUCUUCAGAGAGAUUUUUAGAGUGUCUUUGUAUCCCUUUUUCUGGCUUCCAUGUGAGUGCUUGCCUUGGGAGCUUAGGAGAGGAGUCUGCCAUCUUGCCAGGACCUGUUCCUCAAUGUAGUCUCUUAGGCAAAUGUGCAUUGGGCAUUCAGCUGCCUCCUUGCCAGCUGUUGUCUGUGAUAAAGGAUGAAAGGUUUGUAAAAACUGUUGCAAAAACUGGGAGAUGCAAAUCUUAGAGAAUGAUUGACAGGAGCAUAUGAUCAAGGGUCGCAUGGGAGCCUGAGGGAUCUGGGAGAAGAUUCUAAUUGCCCAACUGUCUUCUCUCUAGAAGGAUUUUGAGAUUAAGGCUGGAAGUGGAUUUUCUCCUGUGACCAAUGGAGGAAAGAGGUUUUCUGGAUCUGUUCUGCUGGCAGCAUCAAUGAGAAGUUCUCUGGACCUACUUGGACAUCUAUCAACUUAAGAUCCUGGCCCUAUUUGCUUAGACUACUGGUGUGAGACUUGGAUAUUGGGAAGUUAAUGUUUAGCUUAGUAAUAUAGUUUAGUUAGUUAUAGAUAUUACCUUUUAAAUUAAGUAUAAGUUUAUUCCUAAACCCUUAUUCCUUCCUACCCUUCCCAAACAAUAAAUCAGAAUUUAUUUAUAUGUUUCCCUCUUGU
rnacentral:lncRNA from 1 species